CUGACGGACCUCGUGUGACUGAGCACAGCAGCAGCUCUGUCGGUCCACCCAGCUGCCAUCCAUCGCCCGGGCCAGUUUAGGACAAAUGAGACUGAUAAGACCGAUGGGAAUGGUCAGCAGCCUGAAGGAGCAGACAGAGGGGAUGAAACAUGCAGAGAGAGAGAGGGAGUGACUCAAACUGAGACCAAGGAGUGGUGCAUGAAGCAGUCACUUCAGCCCAAGAAUGGAGGAAACGCCUGCUGCUCAGAGACUACAUGGCCCAUCCGUCUCGGCUUUGCAG